CAGUCGCCGCGGUAAUACGAAGGGUGCAAGCGUUACUCGGAAUUACUGGGCGUAAAGCGUGCGUAGGUGGUGGUUUAAGUCCGUUGUGAAAGCCCUGGGCUCAACCUGGGAAUUGCAGUGGAUACUGGGUCACUAGAGUGUGGUAGAGGAUAGUGGAAUUUCCGGUGUAGCAGUGAAAUGCGUAGAGAUCGGAAGGAACAUCUGUGGCGAAGGCGACUCUCUGGGCCAACACUGACACUGAGGCACGAAAGCGUGGGGAGCAAACAGGAUUAGAUACCCCCGUAGUCCCUGUCUCUUAUAC
rnacentral:rRNA from 1 species